GUCCUGCCGUCUCUGGCCUGAGUGCUGAUCUCAUACCUUGAUGAUGAUCUCAGAAGACAGGUAGGCAGACAAACAGA
ensembl:miRNA